AUCUAUUUAGUAUAAUUAAUAUAUUUGACUUCCAAUCAAAAGAUCUCCUUCAAGAAUAGAUA
rnacentral:tRNA from 1 species